rnacentral:rRNA from 1 species
UACGGAGGAUCCGAGCGUUAUCCGGAUUUAUUGGGUUUAAAGGGUGCGCAGGCGGGAGAUUAAGUCGGUGGUGAAAUUUUGCAGCUCAACUGUAAAAGUGCCAUUGAUACUGGGGAGCUAGGAUUUGGUUGCUGUGGGUGGAAUGUGUGGUGUAGCGGUGAAAUGCUUAGAGAUCACACAGAAUAUCGAUUGCGAAGGCAGCUCACAAAGCCAAGAUUGACGCUGAGGCACGAAAGUGUGGGGAUCAAACAGGA